AUGGGAUUCUAUAGUCUUAAUGAAUCCCUCCAUCAGGAGGUGGCCAAGUACCAAUCCAGGUUCUUCUGGGCAGGGAAAGGUGAUAAGCAAAAAUACCGUAUGGUGAAGUAGACGGAGAUCGGCAAGCCCAAGGACCAGGGGGGUCUUGGUAUCAUCUCAUCCAAAAAGAUGAAUAUUGCCCUUCUAGCUAAAUGGCUAUGGAGGACCGCCUCUGGUGAGGGUGGCCUAUGGCUCGACAUUAUUCGAGCUAAAUACCUGCGGGGCCAACCCCUAGCGUUUGCGCAAAGAGCCGGCGGAUCACAGUUUUGGCAAACGAUUGUGCAGUUGAUGCCAGUGCUUUGGAUCGGAUCGUCAAUGGAGGUGGGCCGAGGCACCGCCACCCUAUUCUGGUUGGACCGGUGGUGCGGCCCCCUGUAG
rnacentral:rRNA from 1 species